UACUUCGCGGCGACCGGCGCACGGGUGCGUAACGCGUAUGCAACCUACCUUUAACAGGGGCAUAACACUGAGAAAUUGGUACUAAUUCCCCAUAACAUUCGAGAAGGCAUCUUCUUGGGUUAAAAACUCCGGUGGUUAAAGAUGGGCAUGCGUUGUAUUAGCUAGUUGGUGAGGUAACGGCUCACCAAGGCAACGAUACAUAGGGGGACUGAGAGGUUAACCCCCCACAUUGGUACUGAGACACGGACCAA
rnacentral:rRNA from 1 species